GGAGUAAAUAACUAAAAUAUUUUUAUAUA
rnacentral:rRNA from 1 species